GUUCCGGUGGCCUAGUGGUUAGAGCGUCUGCCUCUGAUGCGAGAGGUCGUGGGUUCGAUCCCCGGUCGAGUCA